rnacentral:rRNA from 1 species
CAGUAGCCGCGGGAAUACGUAGGUGGCAAGCGUUGUCCGGAAUUAUUGGGCGUAAAGGGCUCGCAGGCGGUUUCUUAAGUCUGAUGUGAAAGCCCCCGGCUCAACCGGGGAGGGUCAUUGGAAACUGGGAAACUUGAGUGCAGAAAAGGAGAGUGGAAUUCCACGUGUAGCGGUGAAAUGCGUAGAGAUGUGGAGGAACACCAGUGGCGAAGGCGACUCUCUGGUCUGUAACUGACGCUGAGGAGCGAAAGCGUGGGGAGCGAACGGGAUUAGAUACCCCCGUAGUCCCUGUCUCUUAUAC